CUUGGUGCUGGUGAUGACUUUUUAAGACUUUUUUCCCCAUCAGAGCGGAAGUGUUGAACUUUUUGCUGUUAGCCAGAACUUGUCUGACGCACCAAA